rnacentral:rRNA from 1 species
AAUGAACGCUGGCGGCGUGCCUAACACAUGCAAGUUGAGCGGUAAGGCCCCUUCGGGGGUACACGAGCAGCGAACGGGUGAGUAUCGCGUGGGUAAUCUACCUAGAGGUGGGGGAUAGCCUCGGGAAACCGAGGGUAAUACCGCAUGAGUCCUCGAUGACAUAAGUCGACGAGGGGAAAGGCGGGGCUCCUUCGGGACCUGUCGCCUCUGGAUGAGCCCGCGUCCGAUUAGCUAGUUGGUGAGGUAAUGGCUCACCAAGGCAACGAUCGGUAGCCGGCCUGAGAGGGUGAACGGCCACAUUGGGACUGAGACACGGCCCAGACUCCUACGGGAGGCAGCAGUGGGGAAUUUUGGGCAAUGGGGGAAACCCUGACCCAGCGACGCCGCGUGGAGGAUGACGGCCUUCGGGUUGUAAACUCCUGUCAGGUGGGAAGAAAAGCCAGUCGGAUAAUACCCGGCAGGAAUUGACGGUACCACCAAAGGAAGCCCCGGCUAACUCCGUG